UCUUGUUGAUGAUAAGUAUCCCAAACCUGAAGUUCUGAUGAACAAACAUACAGAUCUGACUGCUGAGGU